UACGGAGGGUGCAAGCAUUAAUCGGAGUUAUUGGGCGUAAAGGACGCGCAGGCGGCGAGGUAAGUCGGGUGUGAAAUCCCGGGGCUCAACCCCGGAACUGCACUUGAAACUACCUCUCUUGAGGAUAGGCGGAGAAAACGGAAUUCCACAAGUAGCGGUGAAAUGCGUAGAUAUGUGGAAGAACACCUGUGGCGAAAGCGGUUUUCUAGCUUAUUCCUGACGCUGAGGCGUGAAAGCAAGGGGAGCAAAC
rnacentral:rRNA from 1 species